rnacentral:lncRNA from 1 species
UUAAGUUUGAAGUACUUUCAAGGAUCCCACGAGUUACCCUAUGAAGUCAUUCCUUACUUUCUCCAAGGCUCCCGUGAUGAAGAACUUAUGCCGCAUUUUACCAUUGAGAAGUCGCGUACUCACGUUUGGCAACUCUAAAAUGUAGAUGAAAACGAAACGAAAUCGAAACUCGGUAUCUUGAGCAAAAACGAAACUCGAUCUAUACGUGGGAAAAUUGCAGCAUUAUUCAUUGUAUGAACUCACUCACUCACUCACUCUAUCACAGCAGCACAAACCCGAUCACAGUAAUAGCAGCACUACCUUCCCGGUUAACUCUCUGCCAAUUUGGCAUAACAAUGCUCUUUUCUUUUGUAUACAAAUCUCUUCGAUCGUCCUUACGGAAUGCUAAUCUCUCUUCAAGCUCUGCCUUUCCUCUUGUCAUCCAAUGCCUGAUU